rnacentral:rRNA from 2 species
UAGUAACGGCGAGUGAAGCGGGAUGAGCUCAAGCUUAAAAUCUCUGUGCAAGUUUUGCAUGGCGAAUUGUAGUCUAUAGAGGCGCUGUCAGUGCAGGCAUUUGGGGUAAGUUCCUUGGAAGAGGACAGCAUCGAGGGUGAUACUCCCGUUUGUACCCGAGUGCUUUGUGCGUACGACACGUUUUCUUUGAGUCGCGUUGUUUGGGACUGCAGCGCAAAGUAGGUGGUAAAUUCCAUCUAAAGCUAAAUAUUGGUGCGAGACCGAUAGCGAACAAGUACCGUGAGGGAAAGAUGAAAAGAACUUUGAAAAGAGAGUUAAAGAGUACCUGAAACUGCUGAAAGGGAAGCGAAUCGUAUCCAGUGUCUAUAAUCUGUGGCAUAUUUCAUUGGCGCAUGUGCGCGUGCUGUGUGUUGGAAGUGGCUUUGCUGCUCCGCGUAUGGUUCUGCGUGUGUGUGCUGGUGCCCUGUGUCAUGGUGGGACGUCAGAGUCAGUUCGUAUGCUGCGGGAAAUGGCUAUUGAGGAGGUAGGUCAGGAGCUUGCUCUUGGCUGUUAUAUCUUGGUAGUUAGUGGUCGUGGUUGGGACUGAGGUGCCUACAACGUGCUUUGAGGUCUUGCGGGUUCUUGCUUGGCGGUCUGUCUGGAUAGCUUGCUAUGCUGGUGGCGUCGUCGGGUGAUUGAGUCUGUUUGUAACCUGUGCCGUUC